rnacentral:rRNA from 1 species
UACGUAAGGUCCGAGCGUUGUCCGGAAUCAUUGGGCGUAAAGGGCACGCAGGCGGGCUUUUAAGUGAGAUGUGAAAUCCCCGGGCUUAACCUGGGAAUAGCAUUUCAGACUGGGAGUCUAGAGUACUUUAGGGAGGGGUAGAAUUCCACGUGUAGCGGUGAAAUGCGUAGAGAUGUGGAGGAAUACCGGUGGCGAAGGCGGCCCCCUGGACAAAGACUGACGCUCAGGUGCGAAAGCGUGGGGAGCAAACAGG